GUGGCUUUAGUAGCACAUAUACUAAAAUCAGAAUGAUUCAGACAAUAUUAAUAUGGUCCCUGCACAAAAAUGACAUACAAAUCCAUGAAGCAUUCCAUAUUUUU
ensembl:snRNA U6 U6 spliceosomal RNA